rnacentral:rRNA from 1 species
GGUUAAGUUAGAAAGGGCGCACGGUGGAUGCCUUGGCACUAGGAGCCGAAGAAGGACGGGACUAACACCGAUAUGCUUUGGGGAGCUGUACGUAAGCGUUGAUCCAGAGAUUUCCGAAUGGGGGAACCCACUAUCUUUAGUCGGAUAGUAUCCUUACGUGAAUACAUAGCGUGAGGAAGGCAGACCCAGGGAACUGAAACAUCUAAGUACCUGGAGGAAGAGAAAGAAAAAUCGAUUUCCUGAGUAGCGGCGAGCGAAACGGAAAGAGCCCAAACCAAGAAGCUUGCUUCUUGGGGUUGUAGGACACUCUAUACGGAGUUACAAAAGAAAGUUAUAAAUGAAGCGGUCUGGAAAGGCCCGCCAAAGACGGUAACAGCCCGGUAGUUGAAAUAGCUUUCCCUCCAGAGUGGAUCCUGAGUACGGCGGAACACGUGAAAUUCCGUCGGAAUCCGGGAGGACCAUCUCCCAAGGCUAAAUACUCCCUAGUGA